CAAUAAUUAAGGCAACGUAGGAUUUCAAAAGUAUAUUUUUUACCAACUCCAAUAUUUUAAUAACUUCAAACUUACCACCAAGUUUAGGGAAUAUUUACACACCACUACGAGCCUUAACUCUUUUAGAAGAAGAAAUUGCUGUCUGUCUGUAUGUCUGUCUGUCUGUCUAUCAAUCAAUACAAUAGAUUGAUCUUUAUACCAAGUUAUUUAUGAUAGGAAUAUAUUUUUGAAUCUGAUUUUUUUUGUGUGUGUUUAUUCAUCCUCAAAGGAUUGUAUCAGUUUAACCCCUUAAGGACAC